rnacentral:misc_RNA from 1 species
AAAAGCUGCUGCUUCUUAACAAGGAUAGGAUCAUUACAGGAUGAAGAGCAAUCAAUGUAAAAGUCACUUUGUCCUUCAGGAUCCCACAGUUGUGGAAAUGGUGUGUGAGUAGCUUGUCUUUCAGGAUUCCACAUCGAUUGUGGAAAGAGUGUGUGGGUGGCUUAUAUGGGUACAAGAAAUUUGUUAAUGAAAUAGACGUUUAUUCCCGUUACUGAGUCAUUUGUAUUUUUAUCUACAUUAAAAAAAGAAUAAUUGUAAACGCGUCAGUGUGGUGAUAUUGCUACAUCUAGACAUAUAAGGCAGCAUUAGUAUGAUAUUUGCAAUUUGGGCACCUGAUUCGUUUGCUUUAGAUUCAUUCUUUCAUUCAUGUAGUUCUUACCCAGUUGGUAUUAAAUCAAUAUUUUAAGGUUUGACAUUGCUACAUCUAGACAUAGAAGGCAGU